UGUCCACACCUAGAAUGGCUUCAAGCUUAGAGGUUGGAGAGAAGAUUGAAUCAUUUUUUACAAUUACAAGGAUUUAUAGUAGUCAAGAUGGUGAGUCACAUUUUGGAACUGUGAAAAUAAA